CAAAUACUCCCUCCGUCCCAAAAAUUUUGUCUUACAUUUAUCUAGAUAUGAAUGUAUCUAGUCACGCUUUAGUAUUUAAAUAUGUCCAUUUCUAGACAAACCUAAGACNNNNNNUUUGGGACGGAGGGAGUACUAA
rfam:Hordeum vulgare subsp. vulgare, WGS project CAJW01000000 data, contig: morex_contig_6127